rnacentral:lncRNA from 1 species
UGCAGGAUGUGCGACCCAGGCGCGCGGCCCAGGCGGGCAUGCGGCCCAGGCAGGCAUGCGGCCCAGGUGCGUGCAGGCCCGCGCGCGGGAGCGAGCCAGCCCAGGCGCGGCCUGCUGGCCCUUUGGCCCGGUCCACGGAUCGAGCGGUCCACGGCUGGGCCUGUGGACCGCGUGGGCGUUUCUCAUGCAUUUCUCACGGUGCAU